AAACUCACCUGGUGCCGGAGCUCGUGUAUCACCAAGUACGAGCCCCCAGGGCGAGAAGCGGGAAUUGCACUGCGCUCGCAUUUACCCCCUGCCGCUAACCCAAACUGGGACAGAUGGGGCGUGCAAAUUGCUUAAAUCCGGUUGAACGCAAGAGAGCGCGCCACCGCC
rnacentral:snRNA from 1 species